rnacentral:rRNA from 1 species
UACAGAGGGUGCGAGCGUUGUCCGGAAUCACUGGGCGUAAAGGGCGCGUAGGUGGCGCGACAAGUCAGUGGUGAAAGCUCGAUGCUCAACAUCGAGUCGGCCACUGAUACUGUUGGGCUCGAGCACUGUAGAGGCUAAUGGAAUUCCGGGUGUAGCGGUGGAAUGCGUAGAGAUCCGGAAGAACACCCGUGGCUAAGGCGGCUCUCUAGUACGGUACUGACGCUGAGACGCGAAAGCGUGGGGAGCGAACAGG